CAUGUUGAAACAUCAGUUCCCGUACAAUCACAGAAGUUAAGCAACAUCGAGCCUGGUCAGUACAUAGAUAGGUGGCCACUUCAGAAUGCCUGGUGAUGU